GGCUUUAUUGUAAGACCAACAAGAAGCUAAAGAAAUCUUUUUUUCUUUUUUUUAAAAAUUAAAUUAAAUUUAAUUUAAUUUUUAUACAGCAGGUUCUUAUUAGGUAUCUAUUUUAUACAUAUUAGUGUAUAUAUGUCAAUCCCAAUCUCCCAGUUCAUCCCACCCACCCACCCCCAGCUUUCCCCCCUGAUGUCCAUACGUUUGUUCUCUACAUCUGUGUCUCUAUUUCUGCCUUGCAAACCGGUUCCUCUGUACCAUUUUUGUAGAUUCCACAUACAUGCGUUAAUAUACGAUAUUUGUCUUUCUCUUUCUGACUGCACUCUGUAUGACAGUCUCCAGGUCCAUCCACGAGAACUGUUAAAUCAAGGGAGUUACGUGAUGAGACUGAGUUUCCAAAGCAUCAUCGGUUGUACGCGGAGAGGGGAUGAGUGAGGUGGAAAUUUGCAUGGAGCUAUAACCCUAAGCAUGGAGCUUUGGGGAAUGUCACAUUUCCAAAAAUGUGGCCGAGGAAGGACUUCACACAGCAGCCGAGUGGCAGGAAGCAACCAGAUGAGGAGGCAGCUUUACGUCUUGGCCAGAAGUAACCCAAGGGCACGGUCAACAACAUUGGGAGUGCCCAGGAGUCUCAUUUCAGAGAUGAUUUAUCCUGAUUUAUUUUCAAAUGAUGUUUCUCAAUGGAAUUCUACUCAGCCAUAAAACAAACUGAAACAAAAUGAAACUGAAAUAACACCAUUUGCAGCAACAUGGAUGGACCUAGAGAUUAUCAUGCUAA